UAGGGAAUAUUGGGCAAUGGCCGAGAGGCUGACCCAGCCAUGCCGCGUGCCGGAUGAAGGCCUUCUGGGUUGUAAACGGCUUUUCUCAGGGAAGAAAAAGGGGAUGCGUCCUCAACUGACGGUACCUGAGGAAUAAGCACCGGCUAACUCCGUGCCAGCAGCCGCGGUAAUACGGAGGGUGCGAGCGUUGUCCGGAUUUAUUGGGUUUAAAGGGUGCGUAGGCGGCCCGUUAAGUCCGGGGUGAAAGCCCACAGCUCAACUGUGGAACUGCCCUGGAUACUGGCGGGCUUGAGUCCAGACGAGGUUGGCGGAAUAGAUGCUGUAGCGGUGAAAUGCAUAGAUAGCAUCUAGAACCCCGAUUGCGUAGGCAGCUGACUAGGCUGGCACUGACGCUGAGGCACGAAAGCGUGGGGAGCGAACAGGAUUAGAUACCCUGGUAGUCCACGCCGUAAACGAUGGAUACUCGCUGGUAGCGAUAUAUGGUUACUGGCUUAGCGAAAGCGUUAAGUAUCCCACCUGGGGAGUACGCUGCAAGAGUGAAACUCAAAGGAAUUGAC
rnacentral:rRNA from 1 species